CACAAUUCAUCAAAGUUGAAACCAAUUGACUACUGAUUAUUUCCAAGUGGACCAUAAGCACCUAUACUAUACAUAAGAAAUCUCUUCUUCUUUCUUUUCCUCUGAUGUUUUAGGUGAUAUUUAAUUUUGUUUCAAAUUAAUUUUUUUUUUUUAAUUUACUUCAAUCUUUUUAUUUAUGAUUAAAAUACUAAAUACUAUUUUAAAAAAUUUUAAUAAUAAAAUAUUAAAUAUAGUUCUUAACUGAGAGGAAAAAAAAAAGAGCGAAGAGCGACAGUAGAAGGGUUGAAGAAAAGGUUUGGUUGUCGGUGUACAGAGGGCUCCGCUGCCUUUUGAUAGUGGCAGCUCCUAUUUGUGUUUUGAGAAUCGUAGAUGGUGCUGUCGUUAGUCUGCUCGCUGUUUCUGGGUUGUGAAGUUGGUUCUUCUCUUGUUGAUUGGCUGUUUUAGAAGCAUGUUUGAUUUCCUUUAAUGGGCUUAUGAUGUAUGUCGCCUUUUUCUGUAUAUUAUUGGUUUGUUUUUCUGGUGUCUUUUCCAAUUUGGUCAUCGGUGUGAGCUCUCCCGGUAAUCGUCGGCAGAUCUCAGGGUCAUCGAAGGAUGCCUCUGUGGCAGUACGGUCAGUUGGGGUUUGGUUUAGUUUUGCAUGUUGGACGCGAUAGCAUCCAAAUGUGGAUUGCACUGUUCACUUUGGGUUGGUGUACCGGGUUAACCGAUUUGCUUGGUUUGUCAGGUGGCUUUUUUCUGAGUUGAUUUGUGUACUAUAUGCUGAGCUGGUCUAUAAUUUCUGAAUUUUGUCUUGUA